AUUGACCGCUGGCGGCAGGCCUACCACAUGCACGUCGAACGAGUGGCGGACGGGUGAGUAAUGUCUGGGAAAAUGCCCGAUGGAGGGGGAUAACAACUGGAAAAGGUAGCUAAUACCGCAUACCAUCGGAUGUGCCCCGAUGGGAUUCGCUAGGAGGUGGGGUAACGGCUCCCCUAGGCGACGAGCCCUCGCUGGUCUGAGAGGAUGACCAGCCACACUGGAACUGAGACACGGUCCAGACUCCUACGGGAGGCAGCAGUGGGGAAUAUUGCACAAUGGGCGCAAGCCUGAUGCAGCCAUGCCGCGUGUAUGAAGAAGGCCUUCGGGUUGUAAAGUACUGUCAGCGAGGAGGCGUUACUCGCAGAAGAAGCAACGGCUAACUCCGUGCCAGCAGCCGCGGUAAUAC
rnacentral:rRNA from 1 species